GAGGUUAAGCGACUAAGCGUACACGGUGGAUGCCCUGGCAGUCAGAGGCGAUGAAGGACGUGCUAAUCUGCGAUAAGCGCCGGUAAGGUGAUAUGAACCGUUAUAACCGGCGAUUUCCGAAUGGGGAAACCCAGUGUGACUCGUCACACUAUCAUUAACUGAAUCCAUAGGUUAAUGAGGCGAACCGGGGGAACUGAAACAUCUAAGUACCCCGAGGAAAAGAAAUCAACCGAGAUUCCCCCAGUAGCGGCGAGCGAACGGGGAGGAGCCCAGAGCCUGAAUCAGCAUGUGUGUUAGUGGAAGCGUCUGGAAAGGCGCGCGAUACAGGGUGACAGCCCCGUACACAAAAGCGCAUGUG
rnacentral:rRNA from 1 species